rnacentral:tRNA from 1 species
GACUCCAUGACCCAAUGGAUAAGGUGUUGGUCUACAGAACCAGAGAUUUUGGGUUUGCUCCCUAGUGGAGUCG